GAUGAACGCUGGCGGCGUGCUUAACACAUGCAAGUCGAACGAAGCACUUUUAAUUGAUUUCCUCGGAAUGAUUUUACUUGUGACUGAGUGGCGGACGGGUGAGUAACGCGUGGGUAACCUGCCUCAUACAGGGGGAUAACAGUUAGAAAUGACUGCUAAUACCGCAUAAGCGCACGGUAUCGCAUGAUACAGUGUGAAAAACUCCGGUGGUAUGAGAUGGACCCGCGUCUGAUUAGCUAGUUGGUGGGGUAACGGCCUACCAAGGCGACGAUCAGUAGCCGACCUGAGAGGGUGACCGGCCACAUUGGGACUGAGACACGGCCCAAAACUCCUACGGGAGCAGCAGUGGGGAAUAUUGCACAAUGGGCGAAAGCCUGAUGCAGCGACGCCGCGUGAAUGAAGAAGUAUUUCGGUAUGUAAAGUUCUAUCAGCAGGGAAGAUAAUGACGGUACCUGACUAAGAAGCAA
rnacentral:rRNA from 1 species